UGGUCGGGAUGUUUAGGACAGAGACAGGCAAGGUAACAGGCAAGGUAACCCGGUACAACCAGAGUGGACAACUCACACAAACCAUACAGAACCACAACACAGGACGGGGACUGUAUAGAUAUCCUAUCUAUAUAACAGAGAACAACAAUGGGGAUGUCGUGGUGUCUGACUUUGAGCCUGGUGUUGUAGUGGUGACAGAGCGUGGAGGAAGACAUCGUUUCUCCUACACAGGACAUCCAUCAGGAUCACGACUAUGGCCACAUGGAAUCUGUACUGACGCGCUGUCACACAUCCUGGUGUGUGAUGGUAUAACCUACACAGUACAGAUGAUAAAUAAGGACGGUCAGUUCCUGUCACAUCUACUGACAAAACCACAAGAGAUGCGUGAACCACACAGCCUGAGUUAUGAUGUCAACACUCACCGUCUCUGGGUCGGAUCACAGUUACAAAACAAGGUGUGUGUCUACAGGUAUAUCACCAGACAGCACGCUCUGACAGAUGAACACAGACCCCGUCCUGAUGGAGACACCCGAUACACGACACCUCGUCACGACAACUCAUCAACUAAACGAAAAUGAACACAGACCCCAUACUGAUGAGGACACCAUGUCCAGCUCAACACCAGCUGUAUAAUGGAGAUAGCUGGGAUAUUGACAGACAAGCUGCUUUUUAAACGCCUUCAGGGGGAGAUAAAAGAAAACCUGCCCGGAUUACCCAUAAUUCCAAUGGAGUUACAGAAGCCAAUUAAUUACCGAUCAUCAACGGACUUUGUGUUCUGUGCGUGAACUCUACAUAAACAACGUUUCAUGAAUGGACUCUGUAUCUGUGUAGGUGAACAAAAAUAAUGCGUCAUCAAUGGACACUGUUGCUGGUCUCUGCGUUCUGUGUACGUGAAAUUUGCACAAAAAUAACGCGUCAUCAAUAGACUUUGUAUCUGUAUAGGUGAAAUGCGUCAUCAAUAGACUCUGUGCUUUGUGUACCUUAUCUCUUUAUGAAUAAGGCAUCAUCAAUGGAAUCGGUUUUUUUUUUUUUGUGUACGUGAACUCUACUGUAAUUUGUUAUCAUACGUUUUUUAUCAAUUUUAUCUAAGUGUAAAUUUUGUCAGUAUGUAAUAUGUGUUACAUAUCUAAGCUUUUGAAAUUUCUGGUAUCAUUCGGUGCUAGGACAGAGAUGUCCAUCAGAAUUGUAGCCAAUGUGUCACUAAUUUUUUUUUUUGAUUUUGAUUUUAUACAAGAAAUCUUGUAUGGUGUACUAAACAUUAUUUUCAAAGGGGAAUAACUCAAAAUUUGUAUUUUUCAGUCAGGAUAAAAAAGAGUUAUUCCCCUUGAGAAUGAGAAAUGAAUUUGAUGGUGUUUAUCCCUGACAGUUUUAUUGGUAGGAUUGAAUAUCAGUUAAUGUAUUUUUACAUUAUAUCGUGAUCAUUUGGAAAGAAGUGAUCUGAUAAGCUUUUGAUAAGAAUUUGAUAAGUUUUAGAUGGUUUUUUAUACAAUGUUAUGUAGUUUUAAUUUCAAUAUAUUAAUAGUUGAUGUUAGUUUAAUUCAUUGAGUUUGAGCUGUGCAUGUGUAACAAUUGGUGCAUCAUAUAUUGCUUGUUGUCCUCAAAAGGUAGGUCACAAUGACCCAAUUAGAAUUAUGGUAGUUUAUGGUGAAACUAUUUUAGAACAUGUCUAUUUGAAGAAAAAAACUUGUGUUUUAGAAAUGAUGUACCAUUAAUCAUACUAGGAGUCAUUUACUCAUGUAUAUAUCAAUGUGAAAGUAAGUCAUGAUGACCUGAAUUUGUAAUUAGCAUGUUGUUAAUCCUAUGUGUUUGUUAAUGGUGUUUAAGCACAUUUCUCACACUCUGUAUCUCUGUUGACCAGAUAGAUAGGACAUCUCAAGUUAAUGUCAUUUUCUUUGGAGAAAUAUUGUACGUAAGUUUAAGCGUGAUUAUUUUUUUUUUUUGUGUUUACCCAUACAAUGAACGUGAUGAAAUACAUUUAUAACGUAUAUAUAGUAUUAUUUUUAUUUUUUUGUGUUUACUCGUACCAUGAAAAACAUAAUACUUGUAUACAAAUGAUGUUUGGGGAAAUGUAGCGAGCUGUAGAUAAAAGUCAAUAAACUUGAAGUAACAUGUC
rnacentral:misc_RNA from 1 species